rnacentral:sRNA from 1 species
CCAUCUCUCUGUUCUGCAUUAUCUUAUGACAAAAAAAAAAAAAUUAUUAUUUUGAAGCAAACUCAAAGCUAGGUCCUGAUGUCUCAAGGCACAGGUACUCGUACUUAAAGACACUGUCAUCUCUCAAGUACCCAUCUUGGAGGGUACGGACCCCACAUGAGGGUGAGGCUCUCUGCACACUCCAGAGUGAGGACUUUAAUAAUCUAGUGGACUGUACAUGUUGGGAGGGGAAGAGCGGGGUGCCGAGGGUCUGGAGGGAGAAGAAUUGACUGCCCCUUUUGCUCUUGGAGUUAAGCAGAAAUCUAAAGAGAAGGCAAAGCAUCUUGCCUUCCUGGCAUCAUUUCCUCCUACCAUCCCAGGCCAUCAUUUAUUUAUUACAGCCAACAGACUGGCCUCUUUCUUCCCUUUGACUGGGAAUGGGUCAAAGGCGGUGCAGGAGGAGGAUCUGGUCCAGAUAAUUCACAAGCAGGGUGCAUUUUCCUCUCAUUAUUGAGAACUGUGAGUGUUUAUCAAGAAGGCAGAGCGGGAGAAGAUGAACCAGUCUUCUUCCCCUCACUACCCAGAUCUCUGCCUGCCAACAAGCCCCGUGUUCACCCUGGCAAAGAGUCUUUACAUUCAGACCAAGGAGAGUGUGACUCCUUCUCAGCACUAGCUAGAAACCUCAAGCCCUUGCUUAAGGGCCUUUUUCAGAGAGACCCAAUGCCCAGAAGGCUAGAUGCGUGGGGAGGAGCCACAUACGAGAAACUGCCUCCCUGCUUCGGGUCAGAACAAGCCCCAGGAAGAAAGUAUUUCAAACAACAAGGUGCAUCUGCCUCAACCCAUCCAGCCUGCAUGUUGGUGCUGAGAACAGCCUUUUAUGGGGCUUGCACUGAGCUAUGGGCAUGUCUGAACACAACAAGGAAGAGGCCAGAGCAGCAACAGCACUCAAAGGGUUGAUGGGCAUUUCUUUUAAGAGAGAGCAGAAAACUCUUA